ACUCAAAGGAAUUGACGGGGACUCGCACAAGCGGUGGAACAUGAGGUUUAAUUCGACAAUAAGCGAGGAACCUUACCAGGGUUAGAAAUGUGUACUGACAGCCGUCCGAAAAGAUGGCCUUCUCUCAAGGACAGUACACUCAGGUGUUGCACGGUUGUCGUCAGCUCGUGUCUUGAGAUGUUCCCUUAAGUGGGGUAACGAGCGCAACCCUUAUCGUCUGUUACAAGUGUCAGGCGAAACUGCCCCGCCCAAAGUUCAGAAAAAUUUUUGUGAACUUCGGGCGGGGAGGAAGGAGAGGAUGACGUCAAAUCAGCGUGGCCCUAGAUACCCUGGGCGACACUCGUGUUACAAUGGUUGAGACAAUGGGUUGCCAACGCGCAAGCGGGAGCUAAUCUCAUAAACUCAACCUCAGUUCGGAUUGGGGGCUGCAACUCGCCCCCAUGAAGCCGGAAUCGCUAGUAAUCGCGGAUCAGCCAUGCCGCGGUGAAUACGUUCUCGAGUCCUGUACACACCGCCCGU
rnacentral:rRNA from 1 species